rnacentral:rRNA from 1 species
CGCAGCCGCGGUAAUUCCAGCUCCAAUAGCGUAUAUUAAAGUUGUUGCAGUUAAAAAGCUCGUAGUUGAAUUUUAGGCCUGGCCGGAUGGUCCGUCUUUGGCGAGUACUGUUCUGUCGUCGGGUCUAUCCUUCUGGUGAGCCGGGAUGCCCUUUAUUGGGUGUGUCGGGGAACCAGGACCAUUACCUUGAAAAAUUAGAGUGUUUAAAGCGGGCAUUUGCUUGAAUAGAUUAGCAUGGAAUAAUAGAAUAGGACGUUGGUUCUAUUUUGUUGGUUUUAGGACCACCGUAAUGAUUAAUAGGGAUAGUUGGGGGCAUUAGUAUUCAAUUGUCAGAGGUGAAAUUCUUGGAUUUAUUGAAGACUAACUAUUGCGAAAGCAUUUGCCAAGGAUGUUUUCAUUAAUCAAGAACGAAAGUUAGGGGAUCGAAGACGAUCAGAUACCGUCGUAGUCUUAACCAUAAACUAUGCCGACUAGGAAUCGGGCGACGUUAUUUCAUGACUCGCUCGGCGCCUUAUGGGAA